AAUCAACGCUGGCGGCGUGCCUCAGACAUGCAAGUCGAACGAUUAAAGCUCCCUUCGGGGAGUGCAUAAAGUGGCGCACGGGUGAGUAACACGUAAGUAAUCUACCCUCGGGUGGGAAUAACAUCGGGAAACCGAUGCUAAUACCGCAUAAUGCAGCGGCACCGCAAGGUGACAGUUGUUAAAGAUUUAUUGCCUGGGGAGGAGCUUGCGGCAGAUUAGCUUGUUGGUAAGGAACGGCUUACCAAGGCUACGAUCUGUAUCCGGUCUAAGAGGACGGUCGGACACACUGACACUGAAUAACGGGUCAGACUCCUACGGGAGGCAGCAGUCGGGAAUUUUGGGCAAUGGGGGAAACCCUGACCCAGCAACGCCGCGUGAA
rnacentral:rRNA from 1 species